rnacentral:lncRNA from 1 species
ACCCCUGGGCUCAAGCGACCCUCCUGCCUUAGCCUCCCAAAGUGUUGGGAUUACAGGCGUGAGCCACCGUGCCCGGCCUAAUUUUGUAAUAGCUUUCAAACAGGAGCACACUGGGAUAACAAUUAGAAAAAAUAAAUAAAUUUACAUGUCUCCAUGGGAAUGCUAUCAAACAACUGUUUUUAAUAUGAAUUGAGAAAAAUGAGUAGAUCCUGUUUUUAUAUUGAAAAUAUCAUCUCAUUUCAGACUAUUGAACUUUGGUUGUGAUCUUUUAUAAAUACGGGUUUCCUUUUGGAAACAUCAAAAUAAAGAUAGAAACGGGUUUCCCUUGGUGAUUCAUUUUUCAGGUGUAUUCCUCAGAUGCUCAUUUGUUCUUCCGUUUUAUUCUUUCUUUCUAUUCUAGUACAUUUCCUCUUUCUGCGGUUGGGAGAGUCACCUGCCCUGGUGGUUUUGAAAUGCUCCUGCAGUUCUUGGAGCAGACAGUGGGUGGUGAUAAGAAGCCAUGCCUCCAAGCCAGCCAUUCUUUCUGGAAGUUCCAGACAUGAGGUCUUAACACGUUGCCUAGGCUGGAGUGCAGUGGCAGUUCACACUCCAGCCUCAAAUUCCUGGGCUUAAGCAAUCCUCCUGCCUCAGCCUCCUGAGUAACUAGGACUACAGGUGCACGCUACUAUGCCUGGCUUCCAAUUUCUUCUACUUUUAGCAUCUGACAUUAGUGUUGUACAUUUGUCACAAUUGGUGAGCCAAAAUUGAUACAACAUCAUUAACUAAAGUUCAGCCUUCCCAUUAGGGUUCACCCUGAUUGUAUUUUCUAUGAGUUUUGGCGAAUGUAGUAAUCACUUUUUAUCUGAGGGCUACCAGAAGGUAUCUUUCAGUGCUCAUUUUUGUUUAUGUGUUAGGAGAGUAGAUCCACUUUAAUUGGGAGUGAAUUAAAAAAGAACAGAAUUGGUCCUAAUAGGUAACCAUGAUGUCAAUUUUAGUGAAGGAAAGUAACCUUAUAGCAUACUUCAUAAAUGAAGAUUUCUCUAUGGUUCAGAAAAAGAAAUGUGUUUGGUUUGUGUUAUCACAAUUCACACGGCGGUCUACAACUGCCCAAGGCAAAAGCCAUCGAUACCAUAUUCAUGCUCUGAAUGACGAUUUUGCUUCAGCAAAACAUCAUCUCUCCCAUUAAAAGAAGGUUGUUUAUUUAAAUAUUGUUGACAUUGUAGCUUUGCUUGUCUUUAAUGUAUACAUUUAUACAUUCAGUUUACAAACUUAAUUUGUAAAUGUGUAUAACUGUAAGCAUAAGAACUUUAUACCUAGUUGUAUGUUUGUCCAUAACUAAGAACUGUUAUAGAAAAACAAUUCGUAAACCCUGGAAAUUUGCGAGAAUUUUUUCUAUUAGGGAGUCUGUACAUGACUCAGGUUUAAGAAACAGUGUCCUAAGCGUUAGACAGUUUUCCCCCUAUUUGGGGUACAAUACUGCCUCCCUGUAAUUUGCACACACUUAUCCUGGCUCUGCCCUCUGAAAUCUAAUCCUUCUUCUAUACAAAGCCCUCUAAAGAGUAUUUGAAUGUAACAAUUGCUCAGUUUGGAGCUUUCUCUUUUACAUUUUAAAGGGAUGAAACAGAUUAAUAUAGGUUGAAUUAUGUAUAAUUUUCUGGAGACUGGUUAUAACCCUUCCUUCCUCCUUUUCCACUAAUUGUUACACACCAGGGUAUUGAGAGCUGAGGGUAAGGUUUGCUUCUCUAACUUACCAACCCACCCCAAAACGGAAACAAGGUCAGCCUGGCCUGAUUUGCACUUAGUGAAUUCACGUUGACUCUUCAGUCUUCUUGGAUUUCUUUUCUGAACGUCCACAGUCAUGUUCAGGAGAGGUUGAGCUGAAGAGUUUAUAGUUUCUGUAAUACAGCCCUCUCCCAUUUGAAACCUGGGAGAAUGUUUUCCUAUAAGCAGUGUUCUGGAAACUGUCAUCCUGUAUGAUUUCUCAAAGAGAACUGAGGGUGCGUUCUCGAGUAAAUCCUCAGGGAUUUUGUUCCAAGUACUAUAGCUGGGGUUACUAGGGCCUCAGGUGAAACUGUAUAUAUGAAAUAUGUAUUUAUAUGUAAAUGUAUAUAUGUAAAUAUAUGUAUAGAUUUAUAUAAAUGUAUAUAUAAAUAUAUGUAUAUAUGCAAAUAUAUGUA